rnacentral:rRNA from 1 species
AAUUUUGGUCAAUGGGUGCAACCCUGAUCUAGCCAUCCCGCGUGUUCGCUGUAGGCCUUCUGUUUGUAAAGCACUUUUGGCAGGGAAGAUAUGGCUCUGGAUAAUACCGGGAGCUGCUGACGGUACCGGCAGUAUAAGCACCGGCAAACUACAUGCGAGCAUCCGCGGUAAUACGUAGGUUGCAAGCGUUAAUCGGAAUUACUGGGCGUAAAGCGUGCGCAGGCGGUUCGGAAAGAAGGAUGUGAAAUCCCAGGGCUUAACCUUGGAACUGCAUUCUUAACUGCCGGGCUAGAGUAUGUCAGAGGGGAGUAGAAUUCCGCGUGUAGCAGUGAAAUGCGUAGAGAUGCGGAGGAAUACCGAUGGCGAAGGCAGCCCCCUGGGAUAAUACUGACGCUCAUGCACGAAAGCGUGGGGAGCAAACAGG